CUUCCUGGCUAUGCCUUCCUGGCCACACCUUCCCCAUCUCGCUUUCCCCACAGUGAUGUGGACUGUCCUGUGGGGCUGUGGCCCAGAAUAAAGCCUUCUUCCCUUAACAGACUUCUUGUCAGGCAUCUGGUCACAGCCAUGAGCGGCUACUGCACCGUCUGUCUGCCCUUGCUCACAGAGAAACUGUCGCCCCUGCGGAUUCGGAAGGAUUGCCGAUGCUGUAGCUGGUUCCCAGGAGCAAAUCCUCCACAGGGGAAAGGUAACUCUCGAAGCAUGAUCAUGUUCCUGCAUCUGUCAUCGAUGUCACACAACUGAUCAGGUCUGCUGUCACCAUGAAGCCAUCAGACACGAGCGAAAGCAAGCUAUGGUAUCAGUAUUACACGGGGCUCCAGUUUGCACUCAGCUGAGGACCAUUCUGCGUGGAGUUGCUGUUCUGAGGGAUGUGGAGGUUAUUCCUUACCUGCUCUUGUUCCCAGUUCCGUGUCUUCCAUCAACACGUGUCUUUUGUGACUCCUUGGUGUGACUUGAGCAUACCGUACACAUACUGACCUCUUGACUUAGGAAACAAAAUGAAGUUGAAUUGACUCUCUUUCCUUGGCCUGGCCAUAGAACUUGGGGGGGGGGGUGUCUGUCCCCCUCCCAUCUGGUGAGGAGACUACAAAGGCCUGAAGGCAAGGGAAGGUCUGUGGAUGGCUCCCAGCUUCUGCAUAUCUCAGCAAUCCCAAGCUCUGGCUUGAGACAGUUGGGUUGUAUCAGCCAAGGUCUACUGUGCUGGUAGCUUGGUACUUAGUGUAGAGACACCAAAAGGUGGAGGGACCUUUAAGGACAGAGCCCAGAAGGGGAUGACUGGGCCCCGGGGGCUGCUGUACCAAGAAGGGGCUAAGACAGGUCUCUUACUUAGGACCUGAGUUGGUUCUCAGAGUAAGAGAAGAUGUUUUGUCAGGACCUCAGUCCCAGCCACGCCCAUGGCCCCAGCCACGCCUACUGCCCAAGCCACGCCUACCACCCCAGCCUGCCCACCGCUCCAGCCACGCCUACCGCUCCAGCAAUGCCCACACCCUGCUCACCACCCCACCCAGAUCAACUUCCUGUCUCACCAUGUGAUCCCUAACUUCUGGUGCCUCCACUGUAACAUCAUACAGAAGUCCUUCGGUGGGACGUCCAUUUACUCUGUCAACUUCCAAAACAAUUAGUUAAAUAAAUCUCUUGGUAGUAAGA
rnacentral:lncRNA from 1 species